GAUGAACGCUGGCGGCGUGCUUAACACAUGCAGGUCGAACGGGAAACCUUUUAUUGAAGCUUCGGCAGAUUUAGCUGGUUUCUAGUGACGGACGGGUGAGUAACGCGUGGGUAACCUGCCUUAUACAGGGGGAUAACAGUCAGAAAUGGCUGCUAAUACCGCAUAAGCGCACAGAGCUGCAUGGCUCAGUGUGAAAAACUCCGGUGGUAUAAGAUGGACCCGCGUUGGAUUAGCUGGUUGGUGGGGUAACGGCCCACCAAGGCGACGAUCCAUAGCCGGCCCGAGAGGGUGAACGGCCACAUUGGGACUGAGACACGGCCCAGACUCCUACGGGAGGCAGCAGUGGGGAAUAUUGCACAAUGGGGGAAACCCUGAUGCAGCGACGCCGCGUGAAGGAAGAAGUAUCUCGGUAUGUAAACUUCUAUCAGCAGGGAAGAUAAUGACGGUACCUGACGAAGAAGCCCCGGCUAACUACGUG
rnacentral:rRNA from 1 species